CUGGUCCCGCUAUGGGGCACAAAGGGGGGGCUGUGGGGCACUCCCGGCCCCACUCGUGCCUCAGUUUCCCCCCAAUUGGGGGUCGGUCCCUGCCCCACUCGUGCCUCAGUUUCCCCCCAUUUAGGGGUCAGUUCAGGCCCCACUUGGGGGUCACUUUGUUCCCACUUAUGGGUCAGUCCAGACCCCACUCGUGCCUCAGUUUCCCCCCACUUGGGGGUCAGUUCCUGCCCCACUCGUUCCUCAGUUUCCCCCCACUUGGGGGUCAGUCCAGGCCCCACUUGGGGGUCAGUCCCAGCCCCACUUGGGGGUCAGUUCCUGCCCCACUCGUGCCUCAGUUUCCCCGCACUUGGGGGUCAGUCCCUGCCCCACUGCCGGCUCCGCUGUGGGGCCGCAGGGCCGGGGGUCACUGCAGGGUCCCCCUGUGGGGCACCGUGGAGCUCUGUGGGUCACUCUGGGGCAGCGCCGGACGCUGGGGGUCACUGCUGGGGCUCCGUGGGUCACUCCAUGGGUCACUGCUGGGGCUCCGUGGGUCACUGGUGGGGCUCCGUGGGUCACUCGUGGGUCGCUGUGGGUCACUCUGGUUGGCUGUGGGGCGCUGUGGGUCACUCCAUGGGUCACUUGGGCUCCGUGGGUCACUCGUGGGGCUCCGUUGGUCACUCCGUGGGUCACUCCAUGGGUCACUUGUGGGGCUCCGUGGGUCACUCAGUGGGUCACUCUGUUGGUCACUCCAUUGGUCACUCCGUGGGUCACUCCGUGGGUCACUUGUGGGUCGCUGUGGGUCACUUGUGGGUCGCUGUGGGUCACUCCAUGGGUCACCCCGUUGGUCACCCCAUUGGUCACUCCAUGGGUCACCCCGUGGGUCACCCGUGGAUCGCUGUGGGUCACUCAUGGGUCGCUGUGGGUCACUUGUGGGUCGCUGUGGGUCACCCGUGGGUCGCUGUGGGUCACUCCGUGGGUCACCC
rnacentral:lncRNA from 1 species